rnacentral:lncRNA from 1 species
UUUUUUUUGAUAGAUAAACAGUCAAAUAUAUUAGAAGAGGCUAAAAAAGCCGCAUGUAUACAGGGGGUAUACUAAACAGCCCCAAAAGAGGCUGGAACAUCAACAAAAAAGGUUAAAAACCUCACCCACCCUCAAGUGGUCCCAAGCCACUCCAAAAAGCCUAACAGAGAGUAGGUUUCCUCACCAAUGUACACCUUAGCCCAACCCCACAAAUUACAAACAAAAGAAUUCUUGAAUUUCUAAAUAUCUAAAGACCCUCCCCUAAACACUAUCCUAUUCCUUUCCUUCCAAACCGUCCAAAAAAUGCACAGCGGUAUGGAAUUCCAUAUUUUUUUUCUUUUUUUUCCCACAAAAGAACCCCUCCAACUAUGAAGCACCUCUAUAACCGACUCUGGGAACACCCAUUGAACUCCGAAAAUGACAAGGGUAAUCUCCCAAAUAGUUUUAACCACUGUACAAUGUAAGAGAAUAUGAUUCGCAUUUUCCUCUUCGCAUCCACAUAAAUAACACCGAUUAGGUAGCUGCCAUCCCCUUCUUUGAAGCUUAUCCAAAGUGAGGAUCUUCCCCCACGCUGCCUCCCAAGCAAAAAAAGACACUUUUGUUGGAACCCUAUCCAUCCAAAUGCGUCUAUUCGGAAAAGCACCAACUGAGUAGCCGCUCAAACUUCUGUAGGCCCCCUUGGCCCCAAAAACGUCGUUGCCUUCCCGCUUCCAUCUCACUGAGUCCUCCUCCUGAGAAAUCCUGAAAUCCUUCAGAAGAUUCAGCAUUUCUCCUAUCUGAUCUAUCUCCCAAUCAUUGAAAUCUCUAGCCAAACUGAGAUUCCACCCUCCUUGCCCCAAACUAGAAUCCCACACUUCGCAAACUUUGGCAUUCUUAUGACCCGCCAAGGUAAACAACUGAGGAAAAGUUUGAGAAAGCGCCUCAUUGCCACACCACUUAUCCAUCCAAAACAAAACUCUAUUCCCCUUCCCAACCUUAAGGUCCAUGCUCUCCCAACACCACUCCGCCUCUUUCAUUAUCUCCUUCCACAACCCCACCCCAUAAGGCCCACAAACUUCCUUAGUCCUCCACCCACAUCCCUCUUGACCAUAUUUCACCCCUAUCGCCUUUUUCCAUAGGUUAUCCUUCUCAUAGGCAUAUCUCCAUACCCAUUUGCCCAACAAUGUUUUGUUCAACAAAUCUAUCUUUCGGAUGCCUAAUCCCCCCUCCUCCUUAGGGCUGCAAACCACUUGCCAAUUAAUCAAAUGAACUUUCCCCUCCAAGCUUCCUCCCCCCCACAAGAAAUCUCUUUGGAUUUUUUCAAUCCUUUUUGCCACCACCUUAGGAAUUCGAAUAAGUGAAAGGAGGUAGAUGGGUAUGCUGGCCAAGGUGCUCUUAAUAAGAGUAAUUCUUCCCCCCUUGGAGAUAUAUUGCCUUUUCCACUGGGCCAAUCUUCUUCUCAUUCUCUCUUCCACCCCAUCCCAAGAAGAGGCGUUUUUAUGAUUGGCUCCAAGGGGCAGCCCCAAGUAAACAGCGGGUAAAGCCCCCAAUUUACAACCCAGCUCAGCCGCCAAUUCCUCCAUCCCAUCCACUUCCCCCACCGGAAUAAGGACACUCUUAGCCAGAUUAAUUCUCAAGCCGGAGGCAGCCUCAAACCACGCCAAAAUCCAGCUUAGAUUGGUCAGUUGCUCUCUUCUAGCUUUGCAAAAAAUUAGAGUGUCGUCAGCAAAGAGGAGGUGCGAAACAGUCAGCUCAUCCCCCCCUCUCCCCCGCAUCCUACAGCCUGAAAUAAAGCCCCCUUCACCAGCCCGUCUAAUCAUGGUGCUAAGCACUUCCAUACCCAAAACAAAAAGAUAAGGAGAGAGGGGAUCUCCNNNNNNNNNNNNNNNNNNNNNNNNNNNNNNNNNNNNNNNNNNNNNNNNNNNNNNNNNNNNNNNNNNNNNNNNNNNNNNNNNNNNNNNNNNNNNNNNNNNNUUUUUUUUUUUUUUUCCCACAAAAGAACCCCCUCCAAUUAUGAAGCACCUCUAUAACCGACUCUGGGAACACCCAUGAAACUCCGAAAAUGACAAGGGUAAUCUCCCAAAUAGUUUUAACCACUGUACAAUGUAAGAGAAUAUGAUUCACAUUUUCCUCUUCGCAUCCACAUAAGUAACACCGAUUAGGUAGCUGCCAUCCCCUUCUUUGAAGCUUAUCCAAAGUGAGGAUCUUCCCCCACGCUGCCUCCCAAGCAAAAAAAGACACUUUUGUUGGAACCCUAUCCAUCCAAAUGCGUCUAUUCGGAAAAGCACCAACUGAGUGGCCGCUCAAACUUCUGUAGGCCCCCUUGGCCCCAAAAACGCCGUUGCCUUCCCGCUUCCAUCUCACUGAGUCCUCCUCCUGAGAAAUCCUGAAAUCCUUCAGAAGAUUCAGCAUUUCUCCUAUCUGAUCUAUCUCCCAAUCAUUGAAAUCUCUAGCCAAACUGAGAUUCCACCCUCCUUGCCCCAAACUAGAAUCCCACACUUCACAAACUUUGGCAUUCUUAUGACCCGCCAAGGUAAACAACUGAGGAAAAGUUUGAGAAAGCGCCUCAUUGCCACACCACUUAUCCAUCCAAAACAAAACUCUAUUCCCCUUCCCAACCUUAAGGUCCAUGCUCUCCCAACACCACUCCGCCUCUUUCAUUAUCUCCUUCCACAACCCCACCCCAUAAGGCCCACAAACUUCCUUAGUCCUCCACCCACAUCCCUCUUGCCCAUAUUUCACCCCUAUCGCCUUUUUCCAUAGGUUAUCCUUCUCAUAGACAUAUCUCCAAACCCAUUUGCCCAACAAUGUUUUGUUCAACAAAUCUAUCUUUCGGAUGCCUAAUCCCCCCUCCUCCUUAGGGCUGCAAACCACUUGCCAAUUAAUCAAAUGAACUUUCCCCUCCAAACUUCCUCCCCCCCACAAGAAAUCUCUUUGGAUUUUUUCAAUCCUUUUUGCCACCGCCUUAGGAAUUCGAAUAAGUGAAAGGAGGUAGAUGGGUAUGCUGGCCAAAGUGCUCUUAAUAAGAGUAAUUCUUCCCCCCUUGGAGAUAUAUUGCCUUUUCCACUGGGCUAAUCUUCUUCUCAUUCUCUCUUCCACCCCAUCCCAAGAAGAGGCGUUUUUAUGAUUGGCUCCAAGGGGCAGCCCCAAGUAAACAGCGAGUAAAGCCCCCAAUUUACAACCCAGCUCAGCCGCCAACUCCUCCAUCUCAUCCACUUCCCCCACCGGAAUAAGGACACUCUUAGCCAGGUUAAUUCUCAAGCCGGAGGCAGCCUCAAACCACGCCAAAAUCCAGCUUAGAUUGGUCAGUUGCUCUCUUCUAGCUUUGCAGAAAAUAAGAGUGUCGUCAGCAAAGAGGAGGUGCGAAACAGUCAGCUCAUCCCCCCCUCUCCCCCGCAUCCUACAGCCUGAAAUAAAGCCCCCUUCACCAGCCCGUCUAAUCAUGGUGCUAAGCACUUCCAUACCCAAAACAAAAAGAUAAGGAGAGAGGGGAUCUCCUUGCCGCAGCCCCUUUGAGUUCGAAAAGAAACCAGCUGGAACCCCAUUGAUUAAUAUAGAGAAUUUGGCGGUAGAAAUACACCACCUCAUCCAUUCCUCCCACCGAGACCCAAAUCCCAUCUUCCGAAGAACCUUCAUAAGGAAGUUCCAAUUGAUACUAUCAUAAGCUUUUUCAAUGUCCAACUUACAUAUCAACCCUUUCUCUUUUCUUUUAUACCAAUAAUCAAUCACCUCAUUAGCUACUAGAGAAGCAUCCAAAAUCUGUCUCCCUCUCACAAAGGCGUUUUGGUCAACUGAGACCACUCUGUCCAGCACUUUCUUUAGCCUAUUUGCUAGGACUUUGGCUAAAAGUUUAUACAAACUCCCAAGCAAACUAAUUGGCCUAAAGUCCCCCAAGUCAUCAGCUCCUCCUUUCUUGGGAAUAAGGACCAAAAAGGUGGUAUUAAGAGACUUGGCAAAGGAUUCAUACUCAAAGAAUUCCUUAAACAGUUUCAUCACCUCCUCCUUCACCACAUCCCAGCAAUCUUGCCAAAAGGCCAUUGUGAACCCAUCCGGACCUGGAGCUUUAUCACCCCUCAUCUCCAUUAGUGCAAAAUGAAUUUCCUCCUCAGA